AAAGGUCAGCAGUUUGAAUCUACCAGCCACUCCUUGGAAACGCUGUGGGGCAGUUCUGCUCUGUCCUGUUGGGUCGUUAUGAGUCAGAAUCGACUCGACAGCCUCAAGUUUCAGGUUUGGGAAAUUUUGGAUUGGGAAUGGUGAAAGUCAGAAAGAACCUACUUUCUUCAUAAACAUGGUAUGCGAAAUCUGUGUAAGUUCCAUAGGGUAAAAUCACACAAUUAAUCAAACAGGACUUGGAAAGAUCUAUCUAUCUGUCUUGCCAAACCCAUGGCUGUCCAGUUGAUUCUGACAUGAUGACUCCAUGUGUGUAGAGUAGAACUGCACCCUGUAGGAUUUUCUCGGAUGUAGUCUUUAUGGAAGCAGAUCGCCAGGUUUUUCUUCCGUAGUGCCACUGGGUGGGUCCGAACCUCCACCCUUAAGGUUAGUAGCUGUGUGUGUGUGUGUGUGUGUGCAUGUGUGUGUGUAGAUGGGUGCAUUUGUAUAUGAAUAAACAAGAGGUUUCUAUAUUGCAUAGUUCUCUAAAUACUUAGGGAUUUCCCCCAGUUUUGAAAGCUUACACACUAGGCAGUGUGUGGUUGCAGUGUCAAACUGGAUCGUUACCAGCGUGUGGAAAGUGUUCCCAGGAGAACUAUAAAAGGCUGAGCAAGUCAGAGCCACAACCUGGAGAAAUAGGCGUGCCAUGUUCUUGGAGUUUGUUGGACUUGUUUGUUAACAACAGUUGGCUUUUAAAGGAUAUGUAAGCGACUGCAGCAUCAGUAGGGUUGAAACCAGGUGACUAGAUCAGAGUAGCAAGUGUAAUAUUAGUUAGGCAAGACAGAUAAGUAGCCUAAUCCGAGGUACGAGCAAGUAGUUAGAAACUAGUAUGUCUGUGAGAGCCUGCAGGAUUCAAAUAGGGAAGAUGUCUGGGAUCAAGAGACUUGAGUAAAGGAGGCCAAGGAGCUAUGUAACCUUGCAGACAUUCUCAUGUGAUCUUGUAGCAGGGACACUGAGCGAGAACCUGGUUAGAGUAUUUCCUAAUAGAGAAGCUAGUCAAGGGGGAAAAUGAAAUAUGGGCUGUAUGUCCUAUAGAAACGUUUCCGUGUGAUUGUGUAUAUGUUCAGUAAUGGCGAAUCUACUCACUUAACAAUGGAUGAACUUGUUAUUUUAAAGAAACUUACUGUAAAUGAUUUAAAAUAUGAAGUCCUUUAAUAGAAUAAGUUAUCUUUUAGCUUAUCUUUUAUCAUAAAACUGAAUUUCUGUAUAUCACCUUCACUUAAAUUUAGGUGCUCUGACGGUUUGACUGUUACAGGUGAUCACUACAGAGACUAUUUUGCAUGUUCUCAUGAAUUACUGGAGUCCUGGUGCCAUAGUGUUUAAGAACCCAGCUGCUAACCAAAAGGUCAGCAGUUUGAAUUUACCAGCCACUCCUUGGAAACGCUGUGGGGCAGUUCUGCUCUGUCCUGUUGGGUCGUUAUGAGUUGGAAUCGACUCGACAGCCUCAAGUUUCAGGUUUGGGUUGCUUUGGCUAUUCGGAGCCCCUUGCAGUUUCAUAUGAAUUCAAGGAUUGAGUUUCCCAUUUCUGCCAAGAAACUGUUGGAAUUUGUGACUUGUGGAAUUAAAGAGAGAGAUGCCUGAAAACUAGAGACAGAGAAGUAUAUUUUUCAGAAAGGGGGAGAAGGAAGACUAUAGAGCUUGAUAUGGUCCUCAGGUGAGAAUCUAGAAUAAAUUCCUUAAAGGAUAAAUUGUUUCCAGGAGAGGUGAAGCACUAAUCAUUGGGAAAUAGCCUGAAUUCAUUAAGAAAUAAACAAAACAGCGGAGCCUUCUUUUUGCACAUGGAGCCUGUUGUUUUCCGUCCAUUGGAUGAGAUAUAAGGUUUACUCAUCAAAAGCACAGAUGGCACAGAUCAUGGGAGGGAGAGGGUGUUAGCUAGGAUGGGCUAGAUUCUGCUGUAGUAAUAACCUCAAAUUUUGGUGCUUAAAAACAAAAGAGAUUUAUUUUUUAAAUAAUAUAUUUUUGAUGAUUCCAAUUCAACAGGUUUCACACAUAUUACUUAAUGACAUUGGUUACAUUCUUUUUUUUCCCCCUGUAAAGUUUUUUUUUUUUUU